GAGGGAAUUCCCGGUGUAGCGGUGAAAUGCGUAGAUAUCGGGAAGAACACCAGUGGCGAAGGCGCUCUGCUGGGCCAUCACUGACGCUCAUGGACGAAAGCCAGGGGAGCGAAAGGGAUUAGAUACCCCUGUAGUCCUGGCCGUAAACGAUGAACACUAGGUGUCGGGGGAAUCGACCCCCUCGGUGUCGUAGCCAACGCGUUAAGUGUUCCGCCUGGGGAGUACGCACGCAAGUGUGAAACUCAAAGGAAUUGACGGGGGCCCGCACAAGCGGUGGAGUAUGUGGUUUAAUUCGAUGCAACGCGAAGAACCUUACCAGGGUUUGACAUCCUGCGAAUCUCUUGGAAACGAGAGAGUGCCUUCGGGAGCGCAGUGACAGGUGGUGCAUGGCUGUCGUCAGCUCGUGUCGUGAGAUGUUGGGUUAAGUCCCGCAACGAGCGCAACCCACGUCUUUAGUUGCCAGCAUUUAGUUGGGCACUCUAGAGAGACCGCCGGUGAUAAACCGGAGGAAGGUGUGGAUGACGUCAAGUCAUCAUGCCCCUUACAUCCUGGGCUACACACGUACUACAAUGCUACGGACAAAGGGCAGCAAGUUCGCGAGGACAAGCAAAUCCCAUAAACCGUGGCUCAGUUCAGAUCGUAGGCUGCAACUCGCCUACGUGAAGGAGGAAUCGCUAGUAAUCGCAGGUCAGCAUACUGCGGUGAAUACGUUCCCGGGCCUUGUACACACCGCCCGUCACACCAUGGAAGUUGGCCACGCCCGAAGCCGUUACUCCAACCCUUGUGGAGGAGGACGUCGAAGGUGGGGCUGAUGACUGGGGUGAAGUCGUAACAAGGUAACCGUA
rnacentral:rRNA from 1 species